CGUGUUUGUUUGUUUGUUUUGUUUUUUUGAGACAGGGUCUCACUAUGUAGUUGAGGCUGACCUGGAACUCACUAUAUAGCCAAGGCUGGUCUUGAACUCACAGGGAUCAUCCUGCCUCAGCCUCCCAAGUGCUGGGAUUACAGGCAUGUUUAAAUUGGAUCCAUUUCCCAAGACUUGACACUCCAGCAACUCUUUUUCACAAGAUAAAAGGUCGCCUCUGCUCUAACCAGGAUGUACAGAGCUGCUUUCUCAAUGAUCACCAUUCAGGUAAGCUUCAAGAGUACCAGGCUACGCGUGUCUCACCCGGCAUAGCAUCUAGCACCCUGAGAUUCUUCAUACGUAUCUGA
rnacentral:lncRNA from 1 species